AUGCAGGACCAGCGCCCAGCGGCAGGAAAUCCCCGAGGACAGGAGAUUGCCGGGGCGGCCUUGCUCGGGGACCUGGUGGAAGCGGCGGAAAAUGCUGCUGUCCGCGAUCCUUCCGAAGGAGACGGCGGAAAUUCUGUAGCUGGGAGCAGGGGCUGGGAUGAAGGGCCCGUGAAAAUAGACCACUCCGCUCGGCCACGGUUGGAAAGCAAAGGCAGAAAUGCUGCUGGUCCCACUGUUGCUGGGGAAUCUGGCGUUUCUGACGGCAGCUGCUCGUGUUCCGUAGAACACAACAGCUCCUGGGGUGACUUUGAAGGCUUCAGCGAGGCUUCUGACAAGUCUGACACUUUCAGCACCCUGGAAAUGCUGGAGCGCUGGGCAGCGCCGGGAACCCGGGAAAGUGAUCCGGAUUUAAAUGCUUGUGGCUCAAACUCUUGUGGCUGUCUGCAGGCUGAUAGUUUAGCCAGGAUGAGCGAAACUGCUGCUGUUUCACCUAAUCAGGCCAGUCUCAGCUAUGAGAAUAUUUUUAAGCUUGUCUUUCAAGAAGUUCCAGUGCAACAAAUGACCGAGGAUAUUUGCACCUUACACCAUUUUCUAGAAAAACAUAAUGAAGAAAAUACUAGCUGCAAACCUGUAAAGAAGCAAUUUUGCUCUGAAUCCCAAAAACUCUGGAGGAUUCUCCAAGAUGAAGAUAGCACAUCUACUUCAAGAUGCCUCUGGAGUAAAUCUCAUUGCCAAGACAAUUUCUUACUUGUUCUUGGAAUAGAUGCUGCUCAAAAAGAUCUUUCAGGAGGUAAGAAUCACGUUCUGGAAGAUUCUAACCUGAAAGAGACUGAAGAGUUAACAGAAGUAAAUGGCUUUAAUCUUAAUAAUUGCAAGGCACUAAUUCAAACCAAGCUCUCUGGAUCUUCAGCUCCCCGACACAGCAGCCUGUUUAUGUACAACUUGUUUUUGAAGAAGACUCCUUCCAGUGGAAAUAUGCAAUACAUAACAAUUCCAAGAAAGAAAAAACUUUUUACUGCCUGGAAUCUAAAAAUGAAAAUUUUUAAUAGUGAUGUUUGCUAAAGAAAAAAUACUUUUUAUCUUUGAGGAAAAUCUUACCUUUUGCUACUGAUUUGGUACUGGAAACUGGAAAUCAUAGACAUCUUUGAGGGUCUUUCUGGAGACACCUCAAUCUUCUGUUUGGACAUAAAACUCAGUGCUGCGUGUUGUGCACUAAACCUGGGAUAA